ACCAAGGUUCUUUUAAGAACCAUCUUUUCAUCUUAUUCUCUCUGU
rfam:Cricetulus griseus cell line CHO-K1, whole genome shotgun sequence.